UGUCAGAAUACAAAGGAAGAAGAAAAAGAAUGGAAAUUGAGGAAGAACCUAUAUGGCCUAAAUACUAAGCAACGUAUGUAAGAAGGUUUUGCAUCUUUAUAUUAGCGUGUAAUUAAACGAAAUUAAAGCCGAAAGCUAAAGAUUUAACAGCCAAGGAUAGUAAUUGCCAUUGGAUAAGCAAUAGACAGACACACACAGAUGUUAGGUCUUAACUGCCUCUAAAGACACAAGCCACAAAGAAAAACCAAACACCAAGGAACAGGACCGCAGAGAGAGUCGAAGCAACACAGAAAUAUCUCGUAAAAUUCCUAAACCAUAAAUCACUCCAGUUCACUCGCCACAGAUACUAGCACUAGACCCUCCCUCCUCACCCCCCCUACAACAUCCAUCUCUAGUUAAUGUUUGAAGAAGCUCACAUAGGAUGCCAAUCAGAAUUUAAACAACAAAAAAAA